AUUGAACGCUGGCGGCAUGCUUUACACAUGCAAGUCGGACGAGUGGCGAACGGGUGAGUAACAUAUCGGAACGUACCGAGUAAUGGGGGAUCACUAAUCGAAAGAUUAGCUAAUACCGCAUAUUAUUCGAGCGGCCGAUAUCUGAUUAGCUGGUUGGUGGGGUCAAGGCCUACCAAGGCGACGAUCAGUAGCGGGUCUGAGAGGAGGAGCAGCCACACUGGGACUGAUACACGGCCCAGACUCCGACGUGAGGCAGCAGUGGGGAAUUUUGGACAAUGUGCGCAAGCCUGAUCCAGCCAUGCCGCUUGUCUGAAGAAGGCCUUCGGGUUGUAAAGGACUUUUGUCAGGUAAGCGGUACCUGAAGAAUAAGCACCGGCUAACUACGUGACAGCAGCCGCGGUAAUUC
rnacentral:rRNA from 1 species